rnacentral:tRNA from 1 species
UAAGGAAUAGGUAAAAGGCAUACUUCAAAACUUUGAAUUUUGCAUUAAGAGUUCAACUCUCUUUUCUUUAG